GUGGGGAAUAUUGGGCAAUGGGGGAAACCCUGACCCAGCAACGCCGCGUGAAGGAAGAAGGUUUUCGGAUCGUAAACUUCUAUCCUUGGUGAAGAUAAUGACGGUAGCCAAGAAGGAAGCCCCGGCUAACUACGUGCCAGCAGCCGCGGUAAUACGUAGGGGGCAAGCGUUGUCCGGAAUGAUUGGGAGUAAAGGGCGCGUAGGCGGCCUGGUAAGUCUGGAGUGAAAGUCCUGCUUUUAAGGUGGGAAUUGCUUUGGAUACUGUCGGGCUUGAGUGCAGGAGAGGUAAGCGGAAUGCCCGGUGUAGCGGUGAAAUGCGUAGAGAUCGGGAGGAACACCAGUGGCGAAGGCGGCUUACUGGACUGUAACUGACGCUGAGGCGCGAAAGUGUGGAGAGCAAACAGGAUUAGAUACCCCAGUAGUCC
rnacentral:rRNA from 1 species